GGGGAAGCGCUGGCCGGGUCUCCACUGACUACCGCGGGCGGCGGGUUCCUCCUGUACGGAGCGCUCCGGCAACCCCGAAAGAGCCGAGAAACGGCCCUGGGCGACAGCCAGAGCCCUCCCGCUGAGUUGGCAUUUACAGACUACAGGCCUGGGUUGGCUGGAUUACAGAUCGAGAGCCUACUGUGCACAAAAGUUGCGGUUGCAUCCUUCGGACUGCGCUGCACCGACUGGAGCCCCAGCAUUAAUGACAGGGCCGGGGCUACGGGAAGGAGCCGGGCUCUUGCAUCCUUAACUGUGACCCGGGCGUCAGGCUCUCGCCCACAAACCUUCCCGUCUCCGGAUCUGAGCAGCUGCGGGCUGGGCCGGACUCCGAGGGCAGCAGGAGCCUCUUGCCCUCAAGGAGCUGGUGGUCAGGCGGGUGACAGACCUGGACCCAGCUAAAUGCCAUCCGGAUGGAAGAGUGCAAUAACGAGGGUGGCACAAAGGGGAUGGAGUCGGGGGCGAAAUGAAUCUGUAGAGGCCCCCAGGGACCAGUUCCUAAAUGCCUGUGCGGAAUUUAUAAGCAGACUUUUCUUACAGUCAGUGCGUCGCUGCUGGAAGACUGGAAGCAUCUUUGGGUGCCAGCCUCGGGCCAGACUCGGUAGACGCCUGCAGGCGGGAACCCUGGAAAUGCUACCUGACCUAGAAACCUUCCUUGCCCAUUCACCUCUUCACGUGUUCGGUGCCUCUACUCAGCUCCUGGCCAGCGGUGGAUGGAAUCCAUGGGUGCAGGGUCCGAAGAGGGAGAGUAGUGUGGGAUGGGGGUGACACUAACUGUUACCGAGAGUCAAGUCUACCUUGUAGGUUCAUGACAUUUGUUACCUCAUUUAGCCUCAGGGUAACCCUGUGAGAUGGACAGACACACAUGCGAUCCGAAGUCUAGACAGGUACAGUGACUUGGCUAAAGUACACAGGUUGGUUAGCGACAGAGCUGGGAUUCUAACCUAGUUCCCAAAGCUUGGAUAAUAGGUAAGCCCUUGUAGUGGGUGGCUAUGUCAUGCUUGCUUCCCCUUUGAUCCGUUGGCAUCCCAACUGUCUUGCGAUGUUUGAGACCUUUCUUGCUCCAGGAAAUAUAUGUAUCUUUUUUUUUUUUUUUUUUUGAGACGGAGUCUCGCUCUGUUGCCCAGGCUGGAGUGCAGUGGCGCGAUCUCGGCUCACUGCAAGCUCCACCUCCCAGGCUCACGCCAUUCUCCUGCCUCAGCCUCCCGAGUAGCUGGGACUACAGGCGCCCACCACCACGCCUGGCUAAUUUUUUUGUAUUUUUAGUAGAGACGGGGUUUCACUGUGUUAGCCAGGAUGGUCUUGAUCUCUUGACCUCGUGAGGCCUCCCAAACUGCUGGGAUUACAGGCGUGAGCCACUGUGCCCAGCCAAAUAUAUGUAUCUUUAAACGCCAGAUUCACUCCCAGAGGGGCCAGAGGCUCCCAAAGUUAAAACACCUGAGGACUAAGAUAACACUCAGGGCUCCCAUCUAACCCUCAGAGGGGAGUGCCCAGGAGGCCAAGAGUGGUUCUAUUUAAAAUGUGAAUAGGGGCCAGGUGCAGUGGUUCACGCCUGUAAUCCUAACACUUUGGGAGGCCGAGGUGGGUGGAUUGCCUGAGCUCAGGAGUUUGAGACCAGCCUGGCCAACAUGGUGAAACCCCAUCUCUGCUAAAAUACAAAAAAUUAGCCAAGCAUGGUGGUGUGUGCCUGUAGUCCCAGCUACUCAGGAGGCUGAGGCGAGAGAAUCUCUUGAACAUGGGAGGCAGAGUUGAAGUGAGCCAAGAUCACCCCACUGCACUCCAGUCUGAGCAACAGAGCAAGACUGCAUCUCAAAAAAAACAAAAUAAAAGAAAACAAAAUGUGAAUAGGGAGAUGGCAUGCACAUCUGUAAUCCCAGCUACUUGGGAGUCUGAGGUGGGAGGUCACUUGAGCCCAGGAGUUGGAGACCAGCCUGGGCAACAGAGUGAGACCUUGUCUCUACAAAAACUAAAAAAAAAAAAAAAAAAAAAAAAAA
rnacentral:lncRNA from 1 species